rnacentral:lncRNA from 1 species
AAAAUAACAAAAGAAGCUUCCUUGUGCUUCAUUCUUUAUCCCCACAAAAAUCCUAUAUGAUUCUUCAGAGGCAAAUAAUUUGCAUUCUCUAAGCACAGACUGCUUCUUCCCUAACUUGUUUGUUUUAAAGGGAUGUGCUGUUGUCCCCUCAGGUGAAAUGUGACCACUAUUGGCCAUUCACAGAAGAACCCAUAGCUUAUGGAGACAUCACGGUGGAGAUGAUCUCAGAGGAAGAGCAGGACGACUGGGCCUGUAGACAUUUCCGGAUCAACUACGCAGAAGGACUGCUACCUCUCUGCACUCAUGCUGAAUGUUUGUGUGCCGGGCUAGGUGCUAACAUCCACUGCAGCCAUCCUGGUACCUUCUUCACCAAGAGCAGCCCCAGAAAAUAAGAGGGAAGAUUCACUAGUAUUCUUCACUUGAAUAUCCUCUCUGCUGGGGACAAAGCUUAAUAAGACAGUCUUCAUUAAAAUGUGCUUCUCUGUUUAGAAACAACCCUUCCUCACAGUAUAGAUUAGGGGAUAAACAAAAGAACCUGUUUUGUGAAACCUGUGAGCUAAGAAUGAGUUUUACUUUUUUUAAAGAUUGAAAAAAAAUUAAAAGCAGAACACCAUUUCACAUGAAAUACUCCAUAGAAAUUAUGUAAUUCAAAUUUCAAUGUCCAUAAAUAACAUUUUACUGAAACAUAGCCACAAAUUUAUUUACUGAUGUUCUAUGACUCUUUCUGUGUUACAUCGAGCUUGAAUAGUUCCACAGAGACUGUAUGAUCCACAAAAUCUAAACUAUUUGUUAUUUUCCCUUUACGGAAAACACUGGUUGACCUUUAAUAUAGACAAUGGAAAUAAUAAUUGUUCAUAUCAAUACAACAUAAGCACUCAUUAACUGGCCAUUUAUUGAUAUUGACAAGAAGCAAAUCUCUUCUUUAUUAUGGUUGAUUUACAAUGCUGUGUCAAUUUCUGAUGAACAGCAUAGUGACACAGUCACAGUCAUGUACACACAC